rnacentral:rRNA from 1 species
GUCUACGGCCAUGCUACCCUGAACACACCUGAUCUCAGAAGCUAAGCAGGGUCAGGCCUGGUUAGUACUUGGAUGGGAGACCACCUAGGAAGACCAGGUGUGGUAGGCG